GGUCCUGUAGCUCAGCUGGAUAGAGCAUCGGUUUCCUAAACCGUGUGUCGUGGGUUCAAAUCUCACCAGGAUCA
rfam:Lactobacillus amylolyticus DSM 11664 contig00097, whole genome shotgun sequence.